UACAGGGGGUGCAAACGUUGCUCGGAAUUAUUGGGCGUAAAGCGCGCGUAGGCGGCCACUUAAGUCGGAUGUGAAAGCCCCUGGCUCAACUGGGGAAGUGCACCCGAAACUGAAUGGCUUGAAUGCAAAAGAGGGUCGCGGAAUUCCCGGUGUAGAGGUGAAAUUCGUAGAUAUCGGGAGGAACACCGGUGGCGAAGGCGGCGACCUGGGUCGAGACUGACGCUGAGGCGCGAAAGCGUGGGGAGCAAACAGG
rnacentral:rRNA from 1 species